AUUGAACGCUGGCGGCAGGCUUAACACAUGCAAGUCGAGCGGGGUGAUGGUGCUUGCACUAUCACUUAGCGGCGGACGGGUGAGUAAUGCUUAGGAAUCUGCCUAUUAGUGGGGGACAACAUCUCGAAAGGGAUGCUAAUACCGCAUACGUCCUACGGGAGAAAGCAGGGGAUCUUUAUGACCUUGCGCUAAUAGAUGAGCCUAAGUCGGAUUAGCUAGUUGGUGGGGUAAAGGCCUACCAAGGCGACGAUCUGUAGCGGGUCUGAGAGGAUGAUCCGCCACACUGGGACUUAGACACGGCCAAGACUCCUACGGGAGGCGGCAGUGGGGAAUAUUGGACAAUGGGGGGAACCCUGAUCCAGCCAUGCCGCGUGUGUGAAGAAGGCCUUAUGGUUGUAAAGCACUUUAAGCGAGGAGGAGGCUCUUUUGGUUAAUACCCAGAAUGAGUGGACGUUACUCGCAGAAUAAGCACCGGCUAACUCUGUGCCAGCCGCCGCGGUAAUAC
rnacentral:rRNA from 1 species